rnacentral:misc_RNA from 1 species
GAUGAAGAACGUAGCGAAAUGCGAUAAGUAAUGUGAAUUGCAGAAUUCAGUGAAUCAUCGAAUCUUUGAACGCACAUUGCGCCCGCUAGUAUUCUGGCGGGCAUGCCUGUUCGAGCGUCAUUACAACCCUCAAGCUCAGCUUGGUGUUGGGCCCCGCCGCCCCGGCGGGCCCUAAAGUCAGUGGCGGUGCCGUCCGGCUCCGAGCGUAGUAAUUCUUCUCGCUCUGGAGGUCCGGUCGUGUGCUCGCCAGCAACCCCCAAUUUUUUUCAGGUUGACCUCGGAUCAGGUAGGGAUACCCGCUGAACUUAAGCAUAUCAAUAAGCGGAGGA